CGCGUGGGAAUAUGCCCUUUGGUACGGAACAGUCCCGGGAAACUGGGUUUAAUACCGUAUGUGGUCCUUCGUAGUGGAUACGGGGGACGAAAGAUUUAGCGCCAAAGGAUUAGCCCGCGUUGGAUUAGGUAGUUGGUGGGGUAACGGCCUACCAAGCCGACGAUCCAUAGCUGGUUUGAGAGGAUGAUCAGCCACACUGGGACUGAGACACGGCCCAGACUCCUACGGGAGGCAGCAGUGGGGAAUCUUAGACAAUGGGGGCAACCCUGAUCUAGCCAUGCCGCGUGAGUGAUGAAGGCC
rnacentral:rRNA from 1 species